UCUAUUAAGCUUUUGUUAGUAACCCAUCUCAUAAAACACACCCCUUUGCCCAAACCUUCUGCCGACUUUGUCGCCGGCAUAUAUGCCUCUUCUCGUCCAUCAGUUCUUCAUUUUUUUACCUACUUCAAUAAUUUUCUUCUUUCCCUUUUCUAUCUUAUUUUGUUUCCUUAAUUACUUUUCCUAUUAACGCCCUACGAAAAUAUUGAUUCACCAUGAUUCGCAACCGAAAUUUUAGCUCUGUACUAUUCUACCCAUUUCGACAUUCUCGGGUUCGAACUUAUCACUCGAAUGUAGACAGGUUUUGGAGGUAUUUCUGAACUCGGUAGCGGCUGUUGAUUACUCAGUGGUAGGUCCAUCAGAGUUAGCAAGGUAGCUGUCUGGCGUUCGCAGCCUUGCUCUUCUCCCUCUCAUCUUCCUUAGGUUGUUUUAGUAUUUUUCCAGAUUAUAGUAGUAUUCCUUGUAUUCAAACCUUAGUAGAUGCUCGUGACUUGUGACACCCUGAUGUCGGGCUUAUGUUUCUUUCCUCAUUUGUGAUUUAGACCCUUGUUAUCAGAUUUUAUUUAAUUAAUAGCUUAAAAUGUCCUUAUUUUUGGAA